CCGUCGCGAUGGGGCAGGCAAACCAGGCAAUUGCUUGGGGCCCCAAGCUGGCCUGGGGCCCCCAGACAACAACAGGUUAAGAAUUAAAUGCAGCGACAAACUGUGUGAGCCCCCCUUUACAUUCUCAAAGUCAAUGAGCAAUGACACUGUUCUCAGAAUCCCCCUCAAGGGGGCCCCUCCCACCAGCUGCUGAAGGCAGGCAGACACUGUCCUGGCAGACAGCCAAGUUUUAGACGCCGGCAAAUAUGAAACUUAACCAUGAAGCGAAUUUAUCCAUCAGGAAGCCAAAAGAGAAAACAAAAGAAGGAAGAGGAACACAAAAAAACACAAGACAGUGCUGUACCAUCAACAGCAUCUCUCAUUGAUGAGAAAGACAAUGAGGAAGAAGAAGACAUGGAAGAAACUACAUCCACUGGUGCCAUGGCCUCAACAUCAACAUACAUUGAGUCUGCACUACAUCUCAGCACUGGGGUUACCUCAACAGCACAAGCAACUCUCAUUGAUGAGGAAGACAACAUGGGAGAAGAAGAUAUGGGAGGAACUACAUCCAGUGGUACCAUGGCCUCAACAUCAACACAAAUUGCAUCUCCACCACAUCUCAGCACUGGUGAUACCUCUACAGCACAAGGUACCACAAGCACUUUCAUUAUAUAUUUUUGCAUAUGGGAGUGUUUUGUUUCAGCUGUUCAAAUGUACCUUUGUAUACCUGUGUAUUUAUACUUACUAUGCAAUUUGCACUUUAUUUUUUAUAAUUGUUGUUAUGGGAUACUAUUGCUGUGUUUUUUACAUAAAGUGUGUUGGACCUAAACUGUGUGUAUAUGCUGUGGUUCUUGAAGGUGGACCGCGGCCAGAUAUGUUUUUUUUUUUGGCCGGAGGGGGGUUUGGGCAUGAGAUUUCUGGUGUGGAGGUUGGGGGGGCCCCGGUUGGUGUCUUUGCUUGGGGCCCCCAAAUACCUUGAAAC